UCCGGGUGUGGUGGCGCACGCCUGUAAUCCCAGCCGCUCAGGAGGCUGAGGCAGGAGGAUCGCGAGUUCAAAGCCAGCCUCAGCAACAGCAAGGCACUGAGCAACUCAGGGAGACCCUGUUUCUA
rnacentral:sRNA from 1 species